UACGAAGGGGGCUAGCGUUGCUCGGAAUGACUGGGCGUAAAGGGCGCGUAGGCGGCUUGGACAGUCAGAUGUGAAAUUCCUGGGCUCAACCUGGGGGCUGCAUUUGAUACGUUCGGACUAGAGUGGGGAAGAGGGUCGUGGAAUUCCCAGUGUAGAGGUGAAAUUCGUAGAUAUUGGGAAGAACACCGGUGGCGAAGGCGGCGACCUGGUCCUUGACUGACGCUGAGGCGCGAAAGCGUGGGGAGCAAACAGG
rnacentral:rRNA from 1 species